UACGUAGGUGGCAAGCGUUGUCCGGAUUUACUGGGCGUAAAGAGCGCGCAGGCGGUCGUUCAAGUCGCGUGUGAAAGCCCCCGGCUCAACUGGGGAGGGUCACGCGAUACUGAUCGACUCGAAGGCAGGAGAGGGUAGUGGAAUUCCCGGUGUAGUGGUGAAAUGCGUAGAUAUCAGGAGGAACACCGGUGGCGAAGGCGGUUCUCUGGGCCUUACCUGACGCUGAGGAGCGAAAGCAUGGGGAGCAAACAGG
rnacentral:rRNA from 1 species